UACAUAUGUAUAAGGUGAUAUUCUGUGGUAUUUUCAAAGAUUUGAGCCCAAAAAAGGAAAUCAAACGACCAUUAGGCCUGCCUUCAAACACCUCCCAAUCCUAGGCCGGCCCAACCAGCCCAUUAACCUGCAUCCACCUCAAUUCCUUUCAUCUGCUGGACACCGACGCCCACUCUUCCGUAGUUCCGUCCUUCGGCACGGUCGGUCUUGCUCGGCGCGCGGCGGCCGGCAACCCUAGGCACGCGCGGGCGGCGGCCGGUCACCGGUGGCGACUGGCGAGUGGCGAGGCGAGGAGGCGAGGCGGCGUCCAGCCUCCAACGGCUCUCGCGGCACGCGCGGCCAGGCCAAGCGCAAGGCUGCAGCGGCGCAGGCGCGCAGCCGGUGGCUGAGUGCAUCUGGACAGGACAGCGACGCCGCAGCACACAGCACAGUGAGCCAGUGAUAUUGCUAUUGGUUUGCAAAAUGAGGAACAAAAAGAAAUCGGUUGAUUUGAAGACUCUAUGGGAUAGAGCAGCAAAAUCAAGGAAGGUGGAGUUAGGAUCUACAUCAGUGCCACAACUAGUUACAGAGGGGAUUAAUGCUCAGCCUCAAAAUCCUAUUGUUGAAUCUGUUGUGCCGGCGACUGAUGAGAGUUAAGUUCAUAAUCAAACCAAUCCAUCCGUUCAGCAUGAUACAACAACCAGAGAAGUGGCAAUAACUGAGGUAGAAACUAAUCGGAUGUCACCUGAGAUAGGAAGCAAUGAGCUUGACAUUGACAUAGCAGCCACAAAACCUUCUAAUUUAUCCCCUAUCAGGGAUGGUGAUGACGGCUAUGAAUAAAGUGAUAAUAUUAUUUAUGAUGUUGAUCUUCUUCCUCAUGACCCCGGAAAGAGGCUUCCAAUCAAAAGCUAUAAUGUCAAUGAAAGAAAUUCAGUGAUCAGGGGAUUCAUGCAUAAUUUAGUGCCGAUUCGCUGAACAAUUUAUUAUUGGAUUGUUCUUGUGACUUCAGUUAUCGAUGGAAAUACCCAAGUUUUGAUUCCUGGCUCCGCCACUGGACCAUAUACGUACCAAUUAUCUAUAGGAUGAAAACAGGGUCUUAAUAGACCACCAUUACGACACACUUUUUACCAGUUAUAUGCUUGUCUAGCAAGCAAGUCUAUCAUUUGAUUGUUUGAUCUCCUGAUUCUUUGAAUAGAUGAUGUUGUACCCCUGCAAUUGGAGUCAA